rnacentral:rRNA from 1 species
UACGUAGGGGGCUAGCGUUGUCCGGAAUCAUUGGGCGUAAAGAGCGUGUAGGCGGCUUGGUAAGUCCGCUGUGAAAGUCCAGGGCUCAACCCUGGAAUGCCAGUGGAUACUGUCAAGCUAGAGUCCGGAAGAGGCGAGUGGAAUUCCUGGUGUAGCGGUGAAAUGCGCAGAUAUCGGGAGGAACACCAAUGGCGAAGGCAGCUCGCUGGGACGUGACUGACGCUGAGACGCGAAAGCGUGGGGAGCAAACAGG